UUUGUACACACCGCCCGUCGCUACUACCGAUUGGAUGGUUUUAGUGAGGUCCUCGGAUCGGGCCCCGGCGGGGUCGGCCACGGCCCUGCCGGAGCGUCGAGAAGACGGGUCGAACUUGACUAUCUAGAGAAGUAAAGUCGUAACAAGGUUUCCGUAGGUGAACCUGCGGAAGGAUCAUUA
rnacentral:ncRNA from 1 species